rnacentral:rRNA from 1 species
UACGAAGGGUGCAACCGUUGCUCGGAAUUAUUGGGCGUAAAGCGCACGUAGGCGGCUUUGCAAGUCGGUUGUGAAAUCCCCGGGCUUAACCUGGGAACUGCAUUUGUGACUGCAUGGCUGGAGUGCGGCAGAGGGGGAUGGAAUUCCGCGUGUAGCAGUGAAAUGCGUAGAUAUGCGGAGGAACACCGAUGGCGAAGGCAAUCCCCUGGGCCUGCACUGACGCUCAUGCACGAAAGCGUGGGGAGCGAACAGG